rnacentral:misc_RNA from 1 species
GAUGAAGAACGCAGCGAAAUGCGAUAAGUAAUGUGAAUUGCAGAAUUCAAUGAAUCAUCGAAUCUUUGAACGCACCUUGCGCUCCUUGGUAUUCCGAGGAGCAUGCCUGUUUGAGUGUCAUGAAAUUCUCAACCUUUCUGGCUUUUGCUAGUCAGGCUUGGAUUAUGGGAGCUGCUGGCUUUUGAAGUCGGCUCUUCUAAAAUGUAUUAGCAAGAUCAUUGCUGCUCAUCAUUGGUAUGAUAAUUAUCUAUAUCAUUGAGAGUCAGUUUCCUUUAUUGGAAGAUUUUGCUCCUAACGGUCUUUAGCAAGACAACAUUUGACGAUUUUGACCUCAAAUCAGGUAGGACUACCCGCUGAACUUAAGCAUAUCAAUAAGCGGAGGA